rnacentral:rRNA from 1 species
UACGUAGGGUGCGAGCGUUAAUCGGAAUUACUGGGCGUAAAGCGUGCGCAGGCGGUGAUGCAAGACCGAUGUGAAAUCCCCGGGCUCAACCUGGGAACUGCAUUGGUGACUGCAUCGCUAGAGUAUGGCAGAGGGGGGUAGAAUUCCACGUGUAGCAGUGAAAUGCGUAGAGAUGUGGAGGAAUACCGAUGGCGAAGGCAGCCCCCUGGGUCAAUACUGACGCUCAUGCACGAAAGCGUGGGGAGCAAACAGG